UGAACCAGUACCGUGAGGGAAAGGUGAAAAGCACCCCGGAAGGGGAGUGAAAGAGAUCCUGAAACCGUGUGCCUACAAAUAGUCAGAGCCCGUUAAUGGGUGAUGGCGUGCCUUUUGUAGAAUGAACCGGCGAGUUACGAUCCCGUGCAAGGUUAAGCUGAAGAGGCGGAGCCGCAGCGAAAGCGAGUCUGAAUAGGGCGUUUAGUACGUGGUCGUAGACCCGAAACCAGGUGAUCUACCCAUGUCCAGGGUGAAGUUCAGGUAACACUGAAUGGAGGCCCGAACCCACGCACGUUGAAAAGUGCGGGGAUGAGGUGUGGGUAGCGGAGAAAUUCCAAUCGAACCUGGAGAUAGCUGGUUCUCCCCGAAAUAGCUUUAGGGCUAGCCUUAAGUGUAAGAGUCUUGGAGGUAGAGCACUGAUUGAACUAGGGGUCCUCAUCGGAUUACCGAAUUCAGUCAAACUCCGAAUGCCAAUGACUUAUCCUUAGGAGUCAGACUGCGAGUGAUAAGAUCCGUAGUCAAGAGGGAAACAGCCCAGAUCGCCAGCUAAGGUCCCAAAGUGUGUAUUAAGUGGAAAAGGAUGUGGAGUUGCUUAGACAACUAGGAUGUUGGCUCAGAAGCAGCCACCAUUUAAAGAGUGCGUAAUAGCUCACUAGUCGAGUGACUCUGCGCCGAAAAUGUACCGGGGCUAAAUACACCACCGAAGCUGCGAAUUGAUACCAAUGGUAUCAGUGGUAGGGGAGCGUUCUAAGUGCAGUGAAGUCAGACCGGAAGGACUGGUGGAGCGCUUAGAAGUGAGAAUGCCGGUAUGAGUAGCGAAAGACGGGUGAGAAUCCCGUCCACCGAAUGCCUAAGGUUUCCUGAGGAAGGCUCGUCCGCUCAGGGUUAGUCAGGACCUAAGCCGAGGCCGACAGGCGUAGGCGAUGGACAACAGGUUGAUAUUCCUGUACCACCUCUUUAUCGUUUGAGCAAUGGAGGGACGCAGAAGGAUAGAAGAAGCGUGCGAUUGGUUGUGCACGUCCAAGCAGUUAGGCUGAUAAGUAGGCAAAUCCGCUUAUCGUGAAGGCUGAGCUGUGAUGGGGAAGCUCCUUAUGGAGCGAAGUCUUUGAUUCCCCGCUGCCAAGAAAAGCUUCUAGCGAGAUAAAAGGUGCCUGUACCGCAAACCGACACAGGUAGGCGAGGAGAGAAUCCUAAGGUGUGCGAGAGAACUCUGGUUAAGGAACUCGGCAAAAUGACCCCGUAACUUCGGGAGAAGGGGUGCUUUCUUAACGGAAAGCCGCAGUGAAUAGGCCCAAGCGACUGUUUAGCAAAAACACAGGUCUCUGCGAAGCCGUAAGGCGAAGUAUAGGGGCUGACACCUGCCCGGUGCUGGAAGGUUAAGGAGAGGGGUUAGCGUAAGCGAAGCUCUGAACUGAAGCCCCAGUAAACGGCGGCCGUAACUAUAACGGUCCUAAGGUAGCGAAAUUCCUUGUCGGGUAAGUUCCGACCCGCACGAAAGGUGUAACGAUUUGGGCACUGUCUCAACCAGAGACUCGGUGAAAUUAUAGUACCUGUGAAGAUGCAGGUUACCCGCGACAGGACGGAAAGACCCCGUGGAGCUUUACUGUAGCCUGAUAUUGAAUUUUGGUACAGUUUGUACAGGAUAGGCGGGAGCCAUUGAAACCGGAGCGCUAGCUUCGGUGGAGGCGCUGGUGGGAUACCGCCCUGACUGUAUUGAAAUUCUAACCUACGGGUCUCAUCGACCCGGGAGACAGUGUCAGGUGGGCAGUUUGACUGGGGCGGUCGCCUCCUAAAGUGUAACGGAGGCGCCCAAAGGUUCCCUCAGAAUGGUUGGAAAUCAUUCGUAGAGUGCAAAGGCAUAAGGGAGCUUGACUGCGAGACCUACAAGUCGAGCAGGGACGAAAGUCGGGCUUAGUGAUCCGGUGGUUCCGCAUGGAAGGGCCAUCGCUCAACGGAUAAAAGCUACCCCGGGGAUAACAGGCUUAUCUCCCCCAAGAGUCCACAUCGACGGGGAGGUUUGGCACCUCGAUGUCGGCUCAUCGCAUCCUGGGGCUGUAGUCGGUCCCAAGGGUUGGGCUGUUCGCCCAUUAAAGCGGUACGCGAGCUGGGUUCAGAACGUCGUGAGACAGUUCGGUCCCUAUCCGUCGUGGGCGCAGGAAAUUUGAGAGGAGCUGUCCUUAGUACGAGAGGACCGGGAUGGACGCACCGCUGGUGUACCAGUUGUUCUGCCAAGGGCAUAGCUGGGUAGCUAUGUGCGGAAGGGAUAAGUGCUGAAAGCAUCUAAGCAUGAAGCCCCCCUCAAGAUGAGAUUUCCCAUAGCGUAAGCUAGUAAGAUCCCUGAAAGAUGAUCAGGUUGAUAGGUUCGAGGUGGAAGCAUGGUGACAUGUGGAGCUGACGAAUACUAAUAGAUCGAGGACUUAACCAU
rnacentral:rRNA from 1 species